rnacentral:rRNA from 1 species
UACGUAGGGUGCAAGCGUUGUCCGGAAUUAUUGGGCGUAAAGAGCUCGUAGGCGGUUUGUCGCGUCUGCUGUGAAAACUCGGGGCUUAACUCCGGGCCUGCAGUGGGUACGGGCAGACUAGAGUGCGGUAGGGGAGACUGGAAUUCCUGGUGUAGCGGUGAAAUGCGCAGAUAUCAGGAGGAACACCUAUGGCGAAGGCAGCUCGCUGGGACGGUACUGACGCUGAGGCGCGAAAGCGUGGGGAGCGAACAGG